AUUUUGUUUGAGAUACGUUAGCGUACGCGGUCUUCUUAUCUCAACGUUCAUUCACCUUACAAGUCCGAAAUUGGGGGAAAGGAUAGAGCGGCGAUGUCUGCUUUCUCAGAAUCGGCGCUGGAGAGGAAAUUGUCGGAGCUAAGCAAUUCUCAGCAAAGUGUCCAGACACUGAGUCUGUGGCUUAUCCAUCACCGAAAGCAUUCGCCGCUCAUUGUCACCGUCUGGGAGCGCGAGCUGCGCAAAGCCAAACCAAACAGGAAGCUAACUUUUUUGUAUCUGGCUAAUGAUGUCAUUCAAAAUAGCAAAAGAAAAGGGCCGGAGUUUACAAAAGAUUUUGCACCUGUCAUAGUGGAAGCUUUUAAGCAUGUAUCCAGUGAAACUGAUGAUAGUUGCAAAAAGCAUCUGGGCCGUGUGCUGUCUAUUUGGGAAGAAAGGUCUGUUUAUGAAAAUGAUAUAUUGGAACAACUUAGGCAAGCUUUGUAUGGAAACCCAAGGAAACGCACAUAUGAGCAGAUAAAGAUCGAAGAUAACUCUUCAGCACAAAGCUCUCCAUCUGAUCCUCCCCAGACAAUGGAUCUGAUAAGAUCAUUACAAGAAUUGGAAAAUGCAGCCUCUGGAGAUGCAGCAGUUCAUCAGAGGAUAGCCUCAAUACCUCUAGAAGUUCAAGAUGCAACUUUGCUUAACAGAAUCACAGACAAAGAAUCAGGAGAACAGCUUUCCAAGAUGGUAGAUGAUGCAUGUAUGUUGCUGGCGGAUUACAAUGGCAGGUUGGCAGCUGAAAUUGAUGAUAGAAAACAACUAAAUCGGAUGUUGUCAGAUUUUUUACGAUGCCAAAAAGAAAUCCUGUCAGAGAAAGAACAAACAUUGGAAGUGCGUCAUUUGUUGUGGUAGUUCUUUUCCUCAACUUUUCUUUCCUACUUAACGUUCUUUACUAUAUUUACUUUUUUCCAUAGGGUGUGUUUAAGAUACUUUUUUAAGAUACUUAAGCUUUCUCAUAAUAGGUGGUUUUCAUUCUUUUAACAUAUUAAAGAGUAAAGUGUAUACAUUUACUGAGAGAGAAGCUUUUGUUUUAUUUUGUUAUCAAAUAUUUUUGGGGACUUAAUAUAAAGUUUGACAGUAACAGAUCUCUUUCUUUCUAAUAUUGAUGUAAUGUUUUAAUCUGUUGGAAACUCUCAGUGCAGAGAAGGGUUUUAUGACUUAUCACUGCUACUUCCAUUGAUAAUUGUAGUAUUCUUAUGUUUCCUUUGGCGAUUUAUGGUUGUGUUUUUAUUUUUUAAAAACCACAAAAAUUUUAUAUUUCAUCAUUUUUUGUGAGGUGAAAUUUAAUGCUAGAUUAUCUGCAUGCUUUGUAGAAGUUCAAGUUGGGUUUUUUUUUAAAACUUCAAGUGUUUAAAAUUGGAUUUUUUAAAAACAAAUGUAUAAAAGUCAUACUUAUUAACUUCAAAAUUCUACCUAGAAAAAAGCUAUUAAGACUACAAUAGGGACCAGAAAAUUCAAUCUGUAUGUCAUAAAAUGAGGAAUCACAAUACUGCCCCUGAUCUUGAAAUCUUUUGCUGUGGUCAGAAAAUCACCUUGGUUGUUAAGUGAGAUAUCAUGUGACCAUAACUUGUAACCUUUUCUGCAGCCAGCCUGUUGCAAAUGGCAAUUAUAUGAUGCCACAAGACACUGCAACAGUCAUAAACAAAUGGUGGUUGCCAUCACCUAAAUCACGAUCAAGUGACUCUGGUGACAUUGUGACAGUGAUAAGUGCAAGGAUUUAUCAUAGAUCACUUUUUUCAGCACUAUCGUAAUUUCAAAAGAUUAUAAAAUGAAUUGUCAUAAGUCAACUACUUAAAGAACUUUAGAUGAUAGUUAUUGAGCAAGCAUUAUCUAUGGUAAAUAUUCUGGUAGCUUUAAGUUUGAAUAAACAUUUAUUGAAUGCCAUCAAUUUAUUCACUUUUCCCCCUCAGAUAACUGGAACACUGAUGAUUCCGAUAGACCUAUUCAUUAAAAUUGACAACUUUAAAACUGAUUUAAGAAUUUUAAAUUCAGAAUCUACACCAAUAGUUUUUCAUAUUUGUACCUUAAACUUGUAUAAUUAUCCAGUCACUAGCAUAUAACAAAAGCCUAAUGUUAUUAUCCUUCUAUCCUCCAUGAAGGUGGAUAAUGUCUGACAGUUUUGAUCGUGACAUGUCUUUAAUACAUAUCCAGCUUCUAUUUCAGGAACACAAGCGCAAAUUAACUGGUGUGUCCCAGGUACGGAAAGAACUC